UCGAGAAUCUUCCGCAAUGGGCGAAAGCCUGACGGAGCGACACCGCGUGCAGGACGAAGGCCCUCGGGUUGUAAACUGCUGUCACGCUCUAGGAAUGCCAUGUCGUUAAUAGCGGCAUGGUUGACCAAGGCGAAAGGAAGUGGCGGCUAACUCUGUGCCAGCAGCCGCGGUAAGACAGAGGCCACGAACGUUGUUCGGAAUCACUGGGCAUAAAGCGCGCGUAGGCGGCUAGGUCCGUCCAAUGUGAAAGCCCCCGGCUCAACCGGGGAAUUGCAUCGGAUACAGCCCGGCUUGAGGACGGUUGGGGUGAGUGGAACUCCUGGUGGAGCGGUGAAAUGCGUAGAUAUCAGGAGGAACACCGGUGGCGAAAGCGGCUCACUGGACCGUUACUGACGCUGAGGUGCGAAAGCUAGGGGAGCAAACGGGAUUAGAUACCCCCGUAGUCCCUGAGCGGGCUGGCAAG
rnacentral:rRNA from 1 species